rnacentral:rRNA from 1 species
UGCGUAGGCGGAUUAAUAAGUCAGUGGUGAAAACCUGCAGCUUAACUGCAGACCUGCCAUUGAUACUGUUAGUCUUGAGUACGGUCAAGGUAGGCGGAAUGUGUAAUGUAGCGGUGAAAUGCUUAGAUAUUACACAGAACACCGAUUGCGAAGGCAGCUUACUGGGCCAUUGCUGACGCUGAGGCACGAAAGCGUGGGGAGCGAACAGGAUUAGAUACCCUGGUAGUCC